rnacentral:rRNA from 1 species
UACGUAGGGUCCGAGCGUUGUCCGGAAUUAUUGGGCGUAAAGGGCUCGUAGGCGGUCUGUUGCGUCGGGAGUGAAAACUUACAGCUUAACUGUGAGCGUGCUUCCGAUACGGGCAUCACUGGAGUUCGGCAGGGGAGACUGGAAUUCCUGGUGUAGCGGUGAAAUGCGCAGAUAUCAGGAGGAACACCGGUGGCGAAGGCGGGUCUCUGGGCCGAUACUGACGCUGAGGAGCGAAAGCGUGGGGAGCGAACAGG